GACGGGGGGUCCUAGCGUUGUUCGGAAUCAUUGGGCGUAAAGCGUGUGCAGGUGGUUUGGUAAGUUGGAUGUGAAAGCCCCGGGCUUAACUCGGGAAGUGCAUUCAAAACUACCAAACUUGAGUAAGGAAGAGGGUUGUGGAAUUCCUGGUGUAGUGGUGAAAUACGUAGAUAUCAGGAGGAACACCGGCGGCGAAGGCGGCAACCUGGUCCUAUACUGACACUCAUACACGAAAGCGUGGGGAUCAAACAGG
rnacentral:rRNA from 1 species